UACGAAGGGUGCAAGCGUUACUCGGAAUUACUGGGCGUAAAGCGUGCGUAGGCGGUUUGUUAAGUCUGAUGUGAAAGCCCUGGGCUCAACCUGGGAAUGGCAUUGGAUACUGGCAACCUAGAAUGUGGUAGAGGGUGGCGGAAUUCCCGGUGUAGCAGUGAAAUGCGUAGAUAUCUGGAGGAACACCGGUGGCGAAGGCGGCAUCCUGGACCGGUAUUGACGCUGAGGCGCGAAAGCCAGGGGAGCAAACGGG
rnacentral:rRNA from 1 species